GUGGAUAGCGCAGCUACCAUGCAGUCGAGCGGAACGAGUUAUCUGACCCUUCGGGUGACGAUAACGGCGUCGAGCGGCGGACGGGUGAGUAAUGGCUGGGAAAUUGCCCUGAUGUGGGGGAUAACCAUUGGAAACGAUGGCUAAUACCGCAUGAUAUCUUCGGCUCAAAGAGGGGGACCUUCGGGCCUCUCGCGUCCGGAUAUGCCCAGGUGGGAUUAGCUAGUUGGUGAGGUAAGGGCUCACCAAGGCGACGAUCCCUAGCUGGUCUGAGAGGAUGAUCAGCCACACUGGAACUGAGACACGGUCCAGACUCCUACGGGAGGCAGCAGUGGGGAAUAUUGCACAAUGGGCGCAAGCCUGAUGCAGCCAUGCCGCGUGUGUGAAGAAGGCCUUCGGGUUGUAAAGUACUUUCAGCCGUGAGGAAGGUGGGUAUGUUAAUACCAUACUCGUUUGACGUUAGCUGCAGAAGAAGCACCGGCUAACUCCGUGCCAGCAGCCGCGGUAAUACGGAGGGUGCGAGCGUUAAUCGGAAUUACUGGGCGUAAAGCGCAUGCAGGUGGAUGAUUAAGUCAGAUGUGAAAGCCCGGGGCUCAACCUCGGAACAGCAUUUGAAACUGGUCAUCUAGAGUCCUGUAGAGGGGGGUAGAAUUUCAGGUGUAGCGGUGAAAUGCGUAGAGAUCUGAAGGAAUACCGGUGGCGAAGCGGCCCCCUGGACAGAGACUGACACUCAGAUGCGAAAGCGUGGGGAGCAAACAGGAUUAGAUACCCUGGUAGUCCACGCCGUAACGAUGUCUACUUGGAGGUUGUAGCCUUGAGCUGUGGCUUCGGAGCUAACGCGUUAAGUAGACCGCCUGGGGAGUACGGUCCCAAGAUUAAACUCAAUGAAUUGACGGGGGCCCGCACAGCGUGGAGCAUGGGUUUAUUUCGUUGCACGCGAAAACCCUACCUACUCUUGACAUC
rnacentral:rRNA from 1 species